rnacentral:rRNA from 1 species
GACGAACGCUGGCGGCGUGCUUAACACAUGCAAGUCGAACGGAAAGGCCCUGCUUGCAGGGUACUCGAGUGGCGAACGGGUGAGUAACACGUGGGUGAUCUUCCCUGCACUUCGGGAUAAGCCUGGGAAACUGGGUCUAAUACCGGAUAGGAGCCAUUUUUAGUGUGAUGGUUGGAAAGUUUUUUCGGUGUAGGAUGAGCUCGCGGCCUAUCAGCUUGUUGGUGGGGUAAUGGCCUACCAAGGCGGCGACGGGUAGCCGGCCUGAGAGGGUGGACGGCCACAUUGGGACUGAGAUACGGCCCAGACUCCUACGGGAGGCAGCAGUGGGGAAUAUUGCACAAUGGGCGCAAGCCUGAUGCAGCGACGCCGCGUGGGGGAUGACGGCCUUCGGGUUGUAAACUCCUUUCGCUAGGGACGAAGCUUUUUGUGACGGUACCUAGAUAAGAAGCACCGGCUAACUACGUG